rnacentral:miRNA from 2 species
AUGAUGAUAAUGAUGAUUAAA